GCAAGGACAAACGGGGUCUCGGGUUGGUUUGUGUCCUCAAUGAAGUGCACCGACUGAAGAGCAGAAGCAGGCGUCAAAGCAUUCCAACAGCCAUGAUGAGUCAUGGUUACGAAAAACACAGAAGCGACCAUGGCCCGACCGAUAUUGAUUUUUGAGUGCCGAUGCCGAUUAUUUUCAGAGAAAAAUUACGAUUACGAUUUAAUCGGCCGAUUAAAAAAAUAAAAAAAUAAAAAAAAUAAAAAUAUAAAACGUAGUUUUUGAUACCUUAAAUAUACUUUAAACACUUUUGACGAAUAUGUGAAUUGAAUGCAGAACCUUUGAGUGUUUUAGAAUACAUUUAUAGUCAAAAA